GACAGAGGGUGCAAACGUUGUUCGGAAUUACUGGGCGUAAAGCGCGUGUAGGCGGCUAUGUAAGUCGGGCGUGAAAUCCCACGGCUCAACCGUGGAAGUGCACCCGAAACUGCGUAGCUAGAGUCCUGGAGAGGAAGGUGGAAUGCUUUGGUGUAGAGGUGAAAUUCGUAGAUAUCAAGCGGAACACCGGUGGCGAAGGCGGCCUUCUGGACAGUGACUGACGGCUGAGACGCGAAAGCGUGGGGAGCAAACAGGG
rnacentral:rRNA from 1 species